UAUGGAAAAGCAAAUGUAGGCAUGAGUAACGAUAAUGCGGGAGAGUAACCCGCACACCGCAAGACCAAGGUUUCCUGAUCAACGCUAAUCGGAUCAGGGUUAGUCGGGUCCUAAGGGUAAGCCGAACGGCGAUCUCGAUGGAUAAUCGGUUAAUAUUCCGAUACUAACAUAUACCUCGAUGGAGAGACGAAGGAACGUAAGUGCCGCCACCUGACGGAAUAGGUGGUUAAAGGGCGUAGGUAUAGGGGCAGAUUAAGAGUUAGUCCUUGCUGAAACCUGACAGUACAGAGAGCCUACGGGCAAUUUGAUAGAGCACCCAAGUCGACUUCCGAGAAAAUCUUCUAAGUUAUAGUAUAUGUUACCCGUACCGUAAACCGACACAGGUGGUCGAGGAGAGUAUCCUAAGGUGCUCGAGUGAAUCACGGUUAAGGAACUAGGCAAAUUAACCCCGUAACUUCGGGAAAAGGGGUCCCUAUGAAAGUAGGGCGCAGCGAAGAGGUCCAGGCGACUGUUUAUCAAAAACACAGGGCUCUGCAAAUUCGAAAGAAGACGUAUAGGGCCUGACACCUGCCCGGUGCUGGAAGGUUAAGAGGGGAUGUCAUCGCAAGAGAAGCAUUGAAUCGAAGCCCCAGUAAACGGCGGCCGUAACUAUAACGGUCCUAAGGUAGCGAAAUUCCUUGUCGGGUAAGUUCCGACCUGCACGAAUGGUGUAACGAUCUGGACACUGUCUCAACCGUGAGCUCGGUGAAAUUGUAGUCCCGGUGAUGAUGCCGGGUACCCGCAACGGGACGAAAAGACCCCGUGAACCUUUACUAUAGCUUAACGCUGAAUUUGGGUACACAAUGUGUAGGAUAGGCCGGAGGCUUUGAAGCGGGCACGCCAGUGUUCGUGGAGCCGACGUUGAAAUACGGCCCUUUGUGUAUUUGAGUUCUAACCCUGCGAAGGGGACACCGUUUGGUGGGUAGUUUGACUGGGGUGGUCGCCUCCAAAAGCGUAACGGAGGCUUCCCAAGGUACCCUCAGCACGAAUGGUAACCGUGCGCGGAGUGCAAUAGCAUAAGGGUGCUUGACUGUGAGACAUACAAGUCGACCAGGUACGAAAGUAGGGUAUAGUGAUCCGGUGGUUCUGCGUGGACUGGCCAUCGCUCAAAGGAUAAAAGGUACUCCGGGGAUAACAGGCUGAUCGCCGCCAAGAGCUCAUAUCGACGCGGCGGUUUGGCACCUCGAUGUCGGCUCGUCACAUCCUGGGGCUGGAGAAGGUCCCAAGGGUUCGGCUGUUCGCCGAUUAAAGUGGCACGCGAGCUGGGUUCAGA
rnacentral:rRNA from 1 species